AUUGAACGCUGGCGGCAGGCCUAACACAUGCAAGUCGAGCGGAUGACGGGAGCUUGCUCCUUGAUUCAGCGGCGGACGGGUGAGUAAUGCCUAGGAAUCUGCCUGGUAGUGGGGGACAACGUUUCGAAAGGAACGCUAAUACCGCAUACGUCCUACGGGAGAAAGCAGGGGACCUUCGUGCCUUGCGCUAUCAGAUGAGCCUAGGUCGGAUUAGCUAGUUGGUGGGGUAAUGACUCACCAAGGCGACGAUCCGUAACUGGUCUGAGAGGAUGAUCAGUCACACUGGAACUGAGACACGGUCCAGACUCCUACGGGAGGCAGCAGUGGGGAAUAUUGGACAAUGGGCGAAAGCCUGAUCCAGCCAUGCCGCGUGUGUGAAGAAGGUCUUCGGAUUGUAAAGCACUUUAAGUUGGGAGGAAGGGCAGUAAGUUAAUACCUUGCUGUUUUGACGUUACCGACAGAAUAAGCACCGGCUAACUCUGUGCCAGCAGCCGCCGUAAGAC
rnacentral:rRNA from 1 species